AUCGCUUCUCUGCCUUUUGGCUAAGAUCAAGUGUAGUAUCUGUUCACGUCAGCUUAAUAAAAAGCUAACCUGCAAUAUACACAACUAUUAAAAGAUUACAGCACUGUUUUUACAGUUUUCUAAUUGUGGCCUAACCUUCCUAUCACCUUUGGGUUAAUUUAAGAUUUUCCAUAUAAUUCAGAAAACCCAAAUUGAGCAUUA
rnacentral:snRNA from 1 species